UACAGAGGUCUCAAGCGUUGUUCGGAUUCAUUGGGCGUAAAGGGUGCGUAGGCGGCCUCUGCAAGUCGACUGUGAAAUCUCCGGGCUUAACCCGGAACGGUCAGCCGAUACUGCAGGGCUAGAGUGCAGAAGGGGCAACUGGAAUUCUCGGUGUAGCGGUGAAAUGCGUUGAUAUCGAGAGGAACACCUGCGGCGAAGGCGGGUUGCUGGGCUGACACUGACGCUGAGGCGCGAAAGCUAGGGGAGCGAACGGG
rnacentral:rRNA from 1 species